UACGUAGGGUGCAAGCGUUAAUCGGAAUUACUGGGCGUAAAGCGUGCGCAGGCGGUUAUGCAAGACAGGUGUGAAAUCCCCGAGCUCAACUUGGGAACUGCACUUGUGACUGCAUGGCUAGGGUACGGUAGAGGGGAGUGGAAUUCCGCGUGUAGCAGUGAAAUGCGUAGAUAUGCGGAGGAACACCGAUGGCGAAGGCAGCUCCCUGGACCUGUACUGACGCUCAUGCACGAAAGCGUGGGGAGCAAACGGG
rnacentral:misc_RNA from 1 species